CACAGAAGCCAAAGGUAAGGCUGCUUUUAAAGCUCAAAUUGACAAGCUACAGUAGGAAAAUGUUGAACUCCAGAGAAGGGUUAUUGGCAAUCAGCAAGUAAGAACUCAACAAAUACAUGAGAUGAAGAAGAAAGAAAAGGAGUACAUCAAAUUGCAGGUGAGAACCUACAGGGUAUAGGAAUACCUACAGGAAAGCUGGAUAUGUAUGUUGCUGCUGCUGGCAUAAACCCUCAAAGAUGAAAGAGGCACUAUCAGCAUUGACAUGUACAUGUGAUUUUAGGCAUGAACCAGGAGAGUGAGAGUUUUAGUGUGCCGUGUUUAGAAUUUGCCGAUAUCUUUUUCCCGUUCCAGCAAGUAUUCCUGAUUGUGGGGAUUCUUCCAGUAAUGCUAGAUAUUGGUACUAACAACGAGAAGUUACUUAAUGAUUCUCUUUGAUUUAUUGGAGUUGAGGAGUCCCACAAUCUUUAUGUUCUGUUUGUUUUUCCAUACUUUUUCAAGGCUGUUCAAUUGGAGUUCCAUCUUCAGGUUGACGUGAUUGUCUUGACAGAUGGAAGUCGUAUUCUUGGCCUCGGUGACCUUGGAGUUCAGGGAAUAGGAAUACCUAGAUUGGAGGGAGAAGAGUAUCUAUCUAUUGUUGAUGAAUUUAUGGAAGUCGUGCAUACAUGUUGGCCUAAAGCUAUUGUUCAGUUUGAGGAUUUUCAAAUGAAAUGGGCUUUUGAAACAUUACAACGUUAUCGUAAGAGGUUCUGCAUGUUCAACGAUGACAUACAAGGAACUGCUGGUGUUGCUCUCGCUGGACUAUUGGGAAAUGUGAGAGCUCAAGGGCAGCAUUGAGUGAUUUUGUUAACCAAAAGAUAGUAGUGGUAGGGGCUGGAAGUGUUGGGCUCGGUGUUCUUAACAUGGCUAUUCAGGCUGUUUUGAGAAUGGUAGGGAACAACGAUUCUACUGCAAGAAAUCGAUUUUUUUUCUAAUAGACAAAGAUGAACAAGGAUGAAUAAUCAAUGAAAAAGGAAUGAAGAGGUUUAUCCAUGCAAGCUUCAAACCAAAGCCAAGGAUGUCGAUCCUUCCAGGGGAGUCCAAAGUUCUCCCUUAUUUUUCUCCCUUUAUUUUGAUUUUCAAAAGUUUGCAAUUUUUUAAGUGGGGGUGGGCAAUUGCUUGCAUGUUUAGUCUAAACUUGGAGGUUCAAAUUUUGCCCAAAUUUCAAAAUUUCUAAAAAAAAUUUCCUUACAAUAAUGAGCACUAUACCUUCUUAGAUUACUUAGAUCUUGCAUAAAAAGCAUGACUAGCAACCCUUGAUCACUGAGCUUGGGUUUGUGAUGUAAAAUUCUGAAUGUUGAUGAGUAUAUGUGCUGAAAUUUGAGAAUAAGCUGCCGUGUUUUUUGGUUUAAGCCCAUUUUUAGCGAUAUCUUAUGGAGAUGUGAAUGCAUGAUUGAGAAAAUGGUAUGUGUGUUGUGAAUGCUUGAUUGCAUGCAUAUAAUAAAUAAGUGCAUGGAUACUUUUCUAGCUUUGUCUUCCUUUGUUUCUUUGCCAUGACUUACCUAUGAUGCGCUUAGUCCAAACCUAGCCUAGAUAGAGUUAAAAAAGGAUAGGAGGUACUCUUUAGAAAUUGAGAUGGUUUUAACAAAUUUGUCUUGUCAAACAUGAGUUUGGAGCCUCUUGUCUAGCCACAAUGAACUAAAUCCCUUUAGAAAGGGUGGGCAUUAACAAAUCUUGUUGUCACUUCGAAGGGAGCAGUCAAACUUAGAAACUAAGUGUAGAACCAUAGAAAGGUUACCCCAUCGGUUAUUGUGUGCGUACCAAAGAAAGAAAAGAGAGACUUGCAAAUGUAAAACUUAAGACAGCGAGACAAUUAAGAGCUAAAAAAAACAAAGAACAUAUGCAUUAUACAUCAGAAAAAUCCCAUAAAAAAAUGAAGGGAAACUUCACUUUUGGCCUAACCAAAAGCAGACCACCUACUCUUAGCGUUCUAGACAUAGCAUUGAGUUUGAUGAGGGCUUUGAAAAGAGGAGGAAUCCUCCCCGUUCCACACUAGGGGAAAAACGAGACUUGUCACUCCGAAGGGAGCAGUCAAACUUAGCAUUGAGUUCAAGGUAUCCUUCUUAGAUUCUUGAAUCAUGACUACAUUAGGACUACAAUGAGCACCAUUGUUAUGGAUCAAAAUAAAGUUCCAAAUGUUCAUCCAAUCGUGCCAUCAAAUGUGUCAGAAGGAAAUAUUCAUGUUAGCAUUGGAAAGACGUCAAUAGCAGUGGAAAGAAUUGAAGAAAAAAGUGAAACAAAAGUGAAUGGAGACAGGAAAAUGAAAUUAUCCCAGAAAAGCCAACAAUGUGUAGCAAAUGGUACAAACAAGAGUUGAGAAAAGAUGGGGCGUGAUUUCAUGGUUUCAAAUGGGAAGUCAUCAUGUGUAUUUAAGGGGAAAAUAUUUUGUUUUUCUAGUUCCUUUCCAGAAGAUCGGGGGGAGGCGAGGUUGUUGAAGAUCACAUGAAGCAGAAAGUGCACUUCACUGUUGAAUGUCAUGGUGGGAUACCAAGGAGUACAGACGUUCAUAGUACUUAUGUGUCAAGUCAUCGGGUUCGAUCAUGUUUAGAGCUGAAUGGAUAUAUGAGUGUGUCAGCCAGAGAAAGAUUGUCUCUCUUGAUUUGUAUCGCCCAAAAGAAGUUAAAGCUCAAGACAGAGCGACAGGCUUAUGCACUGUCAGCCAAUUUCCUACUCAAGCUGCCCCAAUGAUAGCCAAUGAAAGCAUAUCCCAGUUCCUAUCCAUUCUGCCAUUCCGAGAGACCAAUCAGCUGGAACUAACAGUAGCUUUAUAGGAGCAGCUGAACGAAUAAGUUCUAUGAAGAAAAGCGCAAGUUCUUUGACGAAGCCAUAGAAAAGCAUUCACUUUUGUUGGAAACAGAUCCACUCAAUCUGACUGCAUUUUGAAUUCCACAAAACAAACUACAUCAAAUUCUUCUGUAGUAACUUCACACGUUCCUGAUGUCGCUUCCGCAAUUGAGGACUUGUUGGAGCAGACAACUAAGACUGUUCGCUUGUUGGUCAAGACCAUUCAGAAACUUCUCCAAUUAGUGCUUUAUCUAACCAGUGGUCAAAAAGAGCUGAAAGAAAAGAAGAUGUGGGCAAUUCUACUACUGAAGAUGGGACUGUGGGCAUAUGUGAUGGCUUUAGUGAAACACAAACAGAGUCUCAGAAUGCCAUAACUCACAGGUUGAUGACGGUGAAUGGGAGCUGUAUCCACAAGUAACUGCUCUAUGCAUUGGAAAUGCUAAAUACUUUGGCGGUGGUAUGAAAAUUGUGCCAAAUGCCGAUCCUUCCAACAGGAGUCUAGAGGUAGUAAUUCUUCAGGAUUUCAAGUGG